rnacentral:rRNA from 1 species
CCUACGGGAGGCUGCAGUGGGGAAUAUUGGACAAUGGGGGCAACCCUGAUCCAGCCAUGCCGCGUGUGUGAAGAAGGCCCUCGGGUUGUAAAGCACUUUCAGUGAGGAAGAACGCCUGGUGGUUAAUACCCAUCAGGAAAGACAUCACUCACAGAAGAAGCACCGGCUAACUCCGUGCCAGCAGCCUCGGUAAUACGGAGGGUGCGAGCGUUAAUCGGAAUUACUGGGCGUAAAGCGCGCGUAGGUGGCUUGAUAAGCCGGUUGUGAAAGCCCCGGGCUCAACCUGGGAACGGCAUCCGGAACUGUCAAGCUAGAGUGCAGGAGAGGAAGGUAGAAUUCCCGGUGUAGAGGUGAAAUGCGUAGAGAUCGGGAGGAAUACCAGUGGCGAAGGCGGCCUUCUGGACUGACACUGACGCUGAGGUGCGAAAGCGUGGGUAGCAAACAGGAUUAGAUACCCUGGUAGUC